GAUCAUUCGGCUGCCCAAGGCUUUUGCCAAUAUAAUUUUCCAGGUAAAACGCCCGUGGCAUUUUCGAACAAAGCUCUGGUAAUCACUGCAAUUUCCCGGGCUAUUGUGAGCUUCGGAACGACGGCGAGAGCAAGAACGGAGCUAUUAUUGCUGUUGCAUCAAGAGACGCGUUAUACCGGUAGUAGAGUCAGCCCUAUGGGAAAUUACGCAAAGCUCAUGAAAAAAAUGAGACGAAAUCUGCCACUGAUAUUAACCAAUCGAAUCUGCUCG